rnacentral:lncRNA from 1 species
UCCAGCCCAAGCCAUUCUACGAUUUGCAGAUGUAGAGUUGUCCCUGUUCUGCUCAGUUAAUUGCAUUGUCUGGAGCAGAAAGAAUUAUCUAUGCUACUAAAGGAGUGGACAUGUGAGGACACUUUCUUUCCUUAGCUUCUUUAAUUUUGUGGAAAAUAAUUUGCACUUGGUGUGAGAUGACAGAUUGGAGUUUUCCCAAAUACGUUCUGGACAGCUAGAGCACAGUGAAGAUUUAAAUCGUGACAUUCAUCAUGAACUUGACGUGCCUAUUUAGAAACAUUUACUGUUUUAUGUGAAAACAUUAUAUACAUGUUAAUAACAAAACUUUGUUGUUGUUGUUCUUAAAUACAGAACAUUCUGGCUUUAUCAGCAGUAUCCUGGACUACAUAUUUUUCAAAGAAAUACCCAGCUUUAUUUCAUACUACCUGUUCUUGGGCAGCUUGAAAUUGGAUUUGUUGGAUGGAAGACAUUAUCUAGUUAUAGGAUCUCAUCCUGAUUAUAUCUUGUUAGAAACUAUCACCACAUUAAUCAAUUGUUAGUAGAAACAGUAGAGUUUUGUGCACAUGUGCAAUGCCAUCAUUAGAAAAUCCUGAGGAGAGAGGAAACUAUUUGCAGUGCAAACACCCUUCUGGUUGGAAUACAAACAAACUCUUAAGAGAAGAAUAACAGCAGAAUUGCUUGUUAACUGCCAUGAGAAGCAACCUUACAUCUGGAACUCUGCCUAUUGCUCUAAUUCAGAAAAAAAGAAAGCAAUACAACUUUAAUGGAAACAAGGAACGUUCCAGUGCUCCAAUCUGGAGAAGAGCUCCCCUGGACAGAUGGAGUUGCUUGUCUACUCUAUUCCUGUCGGACUAUAAGGCUUUGCCCUCCAAAAGCUGCAAGAACAGUCUAACAAGACACAACGUUUAGUGUGGGGAUUGCAAAGCUUUAUUUUUCUAAUUGUUUUAUGUUCAUUUCCUGGUAAUAUAGGAAUACUUUAAUGACUGUGAGACCCAUGAGAGAGUCUUUAAGCUACUCUUGUGUUUUCUGGGUACUUCACAAGUUCCCAGCAGAAUUUAAACUGGGUCUGGUAAAGUAGACAUUGAAUGUUCUCUCCCUUUUUCUUACCUUUUAGGAAGUAACAUCAAACUGCCUUUUAAAAAAUGAUUCUACAUUUAUGAUUCAGUGCAGAACCGCAGCCCUAGGGCCAGCCAAGAAAAGCUCCUGUAAAUCAUUCAAAGCAGGGAGACAAUAACACCAAUAUUUAAGGUCUGUGUUUAAAUUAGUUAUGUUUGUAAAACAAAAGCAGUUGUGUCUGAUAGAGUACUAACAUUCCAACAUAUUUUUGACCUCUCAUUUCUCACUGUAGUCUUUGCUCAAUUUUCAUCACUGUUCACUGAACAGCUUUGUUUUUACUUACAUAUUUGAUUUUUUUAGAGUAUUUAUAAUUAAAGUAAAUCCAGCAUGCCAUAGUAGUAGACUACAGUCUUGCCAUUGUGGAACAGUACUCUACAAUGCUGAAUUUCGACUUCAUAAGAAACUAUUAAAUUACACUUAAGGAUGUGGUUUAUGCUAUAUCUAGUCCAAUUUAGCCGUGAGUGAUACUAAAAGACGUGGUCCUAUCUCCAAUUCCUCUUGCCUGUAUAUUCCCUCCAUUUAGCAAUCAAUCACAUGUAAAAACAUCAGAAAACUGAUUUAAUGACCUCCCUACCCACCAAAUACUAGUUUUCCAUGAGGUUACUAAACUGACUCAGUCCAUGCCACUGAAUCUAAUGCACUUCAGCUGUUCUGGAGAACUUUAGUUUAUCUAUCACAUUAUUUCAUUAAUUUAUAAUAUUUUGUUACUUUUGUUUAUAUAUACUGUGCAAUCAUGCUCUAAACUAGUAGAUUGUUAGUAGGUUUCUGACCCCCCCCCCCCCCUUUGUGUAUAUUUUAGACUGCUUUUUUUAAAAGGUAGAAGGCAAUUAUAACAUUUCAGCUAAGUCUUUGUUAUUGACACUGUUAACCUUUCUUGAAACCUUGGAAGUAGUAUGCUGCAUUUUUGUCAAGUAUUACUGCUGGCAUUAGAACCAUUUCCUGAUUUAUUAUUAUGUGUCAGUUUAAUUAACAUGCUGUUUUACUCCCUCUUCCAGAUUGUUAAUGAAGAUGUUAAAUAAACAGGACCAAACACUGAUCCCUGCA